rnacentral:rRNA from 1 species
CUACGGGUUGCAGCAGUGAGGAAUAUUGCACAAUGGGGGGAACCCUGAUGCAGCAACGCCGCGUGGAGGAUGACGCAUUUCGGUGUGUAAACUCCUUUUAUAUGUCAAGAAAAUGACGGUAGCAUAUGAAUAAGCACCGGCUAACUCCGUGCCAGCAGCCGCGGUAAUACGGAGGGUGCAAGCGUUACUCGGAAUCACUGGGCGUAAAGGACGCGUAGGCGGGUUGGAAAGUCGGUGUGGAAAUCCUACAGCUUAACUGUAGAACUGCACUUGAAACUUCUAAUCUAGAGUAUGGGAGGGGGAGAUGGAAUUAGUGGUGUAGGGGUAAAAUCCGUAGAUAUCACUAGGAAUACCUAAAGCGAAGGCGAUCUCCUGGAACAUUACUGACGCUAAGGCGUGAAAGCGUGGGGAGCAAACAGGAUUAGAUACCCCUGUAGUC